rnacentral:lncRNA from 1 species
CAUAUUCCUAUGCAGCUUGAUCUCGCCUGAAAUGGUAGAAUUCAAGUGUCCUAUUGCCACCUUGAUGACUGCCGAGGCGAGCAUGCCCCCGAGUGCCUAUUGACAUGGCUAGUGACUGUCGAGUUGGGCUGUGUGCUGAAUAGUAGAUUCGUCAUUGAAGCUCCGGCCCUUAUCAAUCUAACAAAGCAUUGGAAGCAAAAAUAAAAUAAAAUCGAAUCAGCAAGUGCAGAAUCAGUCAUGACCUGUUUUACAUAAUACAGAUAUCACAGACUUGCAAAAUCUUAGACAAAAGGGAGUUGCCCACCGAGAGCGGCGAUGUAGCGGACGAGCUCGCCUGCUCCCGCCACUUGUACCAAUCGAAUAAAGACAUGUUGGACUGGGCAUUGAAUGCGAGCGUAGAUGGCAGGAGCAGCAUGUGUAACCUGGAACAGUGGUAUACUUUGAGGGCGUCGUUUGAUGUGACGAUGCCGUCACGGCACUCCGUCCACAUGUUCCCACGGUACAGGAUGGGAGAACUUUUUUUUGACAGCAACAGGAUGGGAGAACUGGUGCAGAACGAUUGGGGACGUUCUAUCCCGUCACACAAAACGGUGAGUUUGCAAUCGAUAAGCAUAUAUGGCACCGCGGCUCCACCCCCACCCCACCUAACGCGUGUAUAGUAUAGAAAAAAAAGUAUCCCUUGGACGACCGCAAGAGGCAGCCAUGGCGACGGCGGAGGCGGGGGGCGAUGGCUUCGAGUUUCUGUCAGAUCCUGUUGACAGGUACCUUCCAUAUCUCCGUCUCGUGCAUCGUACUGCUGCCCGCUGUGACUCGCCGCGUGAACUUCAUACUCUGCUCCCUUCUUUGCCAUAGGUUCCCCCUGCCGGAUCUUGGCGGCGGCGAGUCCAUGCUCGACGCUGAACCCACCCGAACUCUGGUGUGCACAACCGCCUAGUCCACCAUUGGUGAUGUAGGCGAUGCGGCGCUGACAGUCCAAGUAGACCUAAACAACACUUGCGAGGGGCUGAGUUUGUCGGCGCUGAACUAUGAGGAAUCAACGGGCAAAGAUGAUCCUCAAGCCCCGGGCUGGACGUAGAGGUACAUGGCUUAUAUGAUGCUCUCGAUGUAUUAGUCGUUCAUUUAUCCCUUAAUUUUGAGUAGUCUGACAUAAAAUGUGUACUAAAGCAUAACAAUACACCAGCUGUUUCAUGCUGAAACAAGUUCCUAAUGUCUGCAAGAUUUCUUAAUUUUCUCUUGGAUGUUCAUAUUCAUACAAAAACAUAUUAUGCUCUUUGUGUAUAUGAUAUGUCUAGAAACUUCUGCACAAUCUGAGAGUGAUCCUUUAUGUUCUAGCAUCUUGAAUUUACUAUUAGCUGAUCAGAUUGUUCAGGUUUUGAAGUCUAUUGUUCUUAUCAGGUUUCUGUUGUAUGUAUCUGUCACGCCCCUAUCUGGAUCGAGGAGACCAGAGUAGGCAGAUGAGAGAAAGGGGAUGAGGAUGGCGUGAGGAAGGGGGUGAGUGAGAGAGAAACUGGGAGAGAUAUUUAGUUUACUCAAAUAACAGCCUGUCCAAUACAACGCUCACGCGGGGGUUAAGUACCCCUCGACCCAGCUGGCUCACGCACCGGCCACACACACACUUACAGCUGGCUCACGCACGCACUCACGCUUGGCACAGCCAACUGGCAGUCACGCGGUGGUGCCUUGCACUGUCGUGGUGACAUUCUCCCCUCCUUGAGAACGUACUUCUUCCUCAGUUGCGUCGUCUUCCCAGAUGCUUGCUUGCGGGUAACGCCGGCGGAGCACGUCGUAAUCCUCCCAGGUGAUCGUCAGAGGAACUGUGUCCCAGGCCACUUGCAGUUGAACCACAGGUGCGUUGCCCUUCUUCAUCAUUCUGCGGUCCAGUAUCUCCACUGGUAUGGUCUCCUUAGUGGACAGAUCAGUGGUGACCGGAAGUUUAGAGAACACCGGACUGUAGUUCGGGAUGAAAGGCUUCAACUGCGAGACGUGAAACACGGGGUGGAUUUUACUGCCAGCAGGGAGCUACAGUUUGUAUGCUGGAGGUCCAACUCUGGCGAUGACGGAGAAAGGGCCAAAGAACUUGAACGCCAGCUUCGGGCAGGGGCGGCUCGCCACAGACUUCUGUACAUAUGGUUGCAGUUUCAGAAGAACUUGCUCCCCGACCUGAAACGCCUGCUCUGUUCGAUUCAGGUCCGCGAACUUCUUGUGCUUGACUUGCGCGCGUGCCAGAUGUGCGCGCAGGUUUUCCUGAUGCAAGUACCAGUCCCACUGCUCCCGGUCCGGCAAGGCUGGUUGGGAUGCCGGCCAGGUGGCCAUGCUCCCCUCGUUGGCUUCGACCCCGUACAACACUUUGAAGGGAGAGCAACCCAGCGAGGACUGAAAGGAGGAAUUGUACCAGAAUUCAGCAGCGAGAAGCCAACGGCGCCAUUGCUUGGGAGUGUCGUGAACGGCACAACGCAAGUACAUCUCCGUGCACUGAUUGACACACUCACUUUGGCCAUCCGUCUGGGGGUGGUACGCUGUGGAGUAGAGGAGCUUGGUGCCUGCGCCGGCGAGCAGUUCGCGCCACAGCGCACUGGUGAAGAUCUUGUCGCGGUCGCUGACGAUGGAUUUGGGGAUGCCGUGGAGCUUGACGACGUUGUCCCAGAACACGCGCGCCACCUGUGUCGCCGUGAACGGGUGCCGCAAGGGCACGAAGUGAGCGAACUUGGUGAAGCGGUCAACAACCACCAUGAUUGUAUCGUAACCUUCGGACUUGGGCAGUCCUUCGACGAAGUCCAUGGUCAGCUCUUGCCAGGGUGCGGAGGGGAUCGGCAGAGGUGCCAGUUUGCCCGCGGGCUUGCGAAGAUCAUGCUUGGCUUGCUGGCAAACCUGGCACUGGCGCACGAAUUCGUCGACAUCUUGUUUCAGUCCCUUCCACUCAAAAACUUUCUUGACUCAGUGGUAGGUGGCCGUUGCUCCGGAGUGGCUGCCCACGGUGCUGUCGUGCAUCGCGCUGAUGAGCUUAGUGCGCAGAGCGAUGUUUGCGCCAAUCCACAGCCGGCCCUGACGCCGAAUGAGGCCCCGGUACAGCUCGUACUCGUCAUCAUCUGGGAUGUGCAGUGCAAGUUGUUGCAGCCGUUCUUGCGCGUCCGGAUCAGUGGCGUAGGAAUUGGCCACCUCCUGUAUCCACGCGGGCUGACACAUGGACAGAGCGUUGGCGCUGAAGUGGCUGCCCACGCGGGAGAGCGCGUCCGCAGCUCCAUUGUCGAUGCCGCGCUUGUACUGAAACUUGAACUGCAGCCCGACAAGCUUUGACAUUGCACGGCGCUGGACGUCAGUCACCAGUUGUUGAUCGCCCAGUGUGCACAAGCUCUUGUGGUCGGUGAGGAUGGUGAACGGCCCGCGCUGCAGGUAGGAGCGCCAUUUGUCCACCGCCAUCAUCACCGCCAGAAACUCCAUCUCGUACGUUGAGAGUUUCUGGUUCUUCACUCCCAGCGCUUUGCUGUAGUAGGCGACCAGGUGGCCUUCUUGCACCAGCACGGCGCCAAUGCCAGUGUCGCAGGCGUCCGUCUCGAUCGAGAACGGCUUGUCGAAGUCUAGGAGGGCGAGCACCGGCGUGGUCACCAUCGCCUGCUUGAGCGUGUCGAAGGCGCGCUGCGCGGAUUCGGGCCACUCGAAUCCUUUCUUGGUGAGCUGCAGUGUGAGGGGCUUGGCGAUGAUCCCAUAGUGCGGCACAAACUUACGGUAGUAGCCGGUGAGCCCCAGGAACGCGCGCAGCUCGGUGGCAUUGGUCGGAGUAGGCCACUGAGCCAUGGCUUCUGUCUUCUCAGAGUCAGUCGCCACGCCCUGCUUGGAGAUGACGUGGCCGAGGUAAUCGAUGUGAUCUUGCGUGAAUGAACACUUCGACAUAUUGGCGUAUAACUGGUGCUCGCGGAGCAGGCUCAGCACGAGGCGAAGAUGCUCCAAGUACUCUUCCCAGGUCUCACUGAAAAUCGGAAUGUCGUCAAGAAAAAUGAUGACAAACUUACGUGUAUACUUGGCGAAGAUCGCGUUCAUCAAGCAUUGAAAGGUUGCAGGCGCAUUUGUCAGGCCGAACGGCAUCAUGCGGAACUGAAAAUGCCCGUGGUGGGUUUUGAAUGCAGUCUUGUGUUCGUCCUCUUCACGCAUGCGGAUUUGGUGAUAGCCUGCCCGCAGAUCGAGCUUGGAGAAGAAAGCAGCGCCGGCUAGUUCAUCGAGGAGCUCGUCCACGAUCGGCAACAGAAACUUGUUCUUCACUGUGAUGUCGUUGAGGCGUCUGUAAUCGACACAGAACCGCCAUGUCCCGUCCUUUUUCUUCACCAGCAGCACCGGAGCAGCAUAUGGGCUGACCGAGUGUGUGAUCACGCCGGCAUCGAGCAUUUCUUUCACUUGACGCUUGAUUUCGUCUUUCUGGAGUGGCGAGUAACGGUACGGUCGUGUGUUUGUAGGUUGAGCUCCUUCUUCCAAAGUGACUGCGUGAUCGUACUGCCUAUGAGGAGGCAGACCGGUUGGUGUGGCGAAGACAUCAGCAAACUCCUCCAAUAAAUCGCUGAUCAGCGUAUGCGAUGGAAUGCGCGACUUUGGUCUGGGAGGUUGCAUUUCCACCAUGGCCAUAGCCCAGAUAUCAUUGCCAGCUAUCAGUUUGCAGAGCUCGGCCGGCUGAACGGCCGCGAGCAUUGGUGUCGUCUUGGGUCGAACACCUUGCAGGGUGACCAACUCGCCGUCAUGGAGGAUGAGAUGAACUUCUCUUGCCAGUGACAGGUCAUCGGACUGUUUUUCUCCAACCAAUCCAUGCCAAGGAUGUCGUGGUAGGCGCCGGUGUCGAGCUCGUACAUCGGCGUCGAGAAGGUGUGGCCCUGCAUCCACCACUUGAGCUCAGGAACUUGGCGAGAGCAGGUGAGGCGAUCGCCGUUCGCCACACGCACGUCCAGGGUAGCGAUUUCUUGUGUCUCUGCGCCGACACGCUCGACGAAGGAUUUGUUGACGAAGCUGUGCGUGCUUCCGGAGUCUAGCAGUAGCAGCAUCACCUGGUUGCCCACCAGUGCGUGGAGACGAAUGGUGCUGUGCGCCUCUGAGCCGUCCAGCGCGUGCGCAGAGAUGGUGCAGCACUCCGGAGGAGGGAUGGCAGGCUCUGGAGCGUCGAGCAAGUCGAGAGCGUGCAAGGCGUCAUCAGUGAGCACCUCGCCAUACGCGCCGACCUAAAUCGUGAGCAGCUGCGCCCGCGGAUUGCAGCAGUGCUCACGGCUGUAUCGAUCGCCGCACUUGAAGCAGAGCCCGUUGGCGCGGCGAAAUUCCUUGAGUUGACGCUCGCGCGCAUAGUCGUCGGGCUGUUGGCGUGGCGCAGCGCCCGGGCGCGCUGGUGGCGCUGGAGGUGGGCGGCCUUGGGGUUGUGGUCGCGGCCGCGCUCGUGGCGUGUUCAGCUCCUCCUCUUGGAUGCGGGCAAGGAUCGACGCGCGCGUGAUGCUGGUGGGGGCUUGGAGACGCACGGCCGCGCGCAGUUCGUCCUUGAGGCCCAGCAAGAACUGCGUGAUGAAAAACUUGGUGGAGAGCGAUGGGUCGAGCGCCAGGAGGUGGUACAUGUGGCUGUCGAACUCCUGGCGGUAUUCGCUGACGGUGCCGCUCUGCCAGAGUUGGAGAAGCUUGUGCAUCUCCAGCUCGAACUCGUCGGCGCCGAAUUCCUCGAUGAUCGCUCGCAGAACGCCUCCCAGCCCAGGCCAGCAUGUGUUUGACGAAAUGCCUGCAGCCAGUGUGCGGCCUGGCCCUCGAUGUACAUCGUCGCCAUGGUCACCCAGCUUGAUGGCGGCACGCGGUAGAGGUCGAAGUAGGCGCGGCAGCGAUCCAGCCAGAGGUACGGCGCCGUGCCGUCGAAGCGCGGAAGAUCGUGCUUGGGCGGCUUGAUGUAGUUGUCGUGGUGUCGGUGGAGUUGUGGCUCGUUCUGGAGCGGCGCCUGAAGCAGAGGCGGCCGCUGAUCUGCGAGGCGUGGGGACGGUGGCGGUCCCUAUUGUUGUUGGUGCACGGGUGGAGGGCGCAGAGGAGGCGGCGGGGGUGGAGGUGGUGACAGGUUGAGGACGGCGCCCGGUCCCGAUCCGCGCGGCGACGGCGAUCUCUCGAGCGCCUUGCGAGUCUCGUCAACGUCGGCCUGGGUGAGAUCCACCUGCUUGGACAGCGCCCGCAGAUCUUGCGCCACCUGCGCGCUGAAGGCGGCCUGCACCUCGAGUCGCUUUUCGUUGUAGGCCUUCUGCUCGUCGAGGCGCGAGAGAACGGUCUCCAUGAGCGCCUUGAGCGUGCUGGUGUUGUCGUCCAUGGCAGACAACAGCUGUCGCGUCUGAACCGAUGGUUUGGACGGCGUCGUUGCUCCGCUCCGAGCCGAUCCAACCCCGCCGGGGAUUUUGGGCGAUUUGCCGGAGCAGAUCGCACACCCGGCGGUGGAUGUUACAGAUCAAGGCCAAGAGGUUUGUGGAGGCAGCGGAGAAAAAAUUUCGGCAGGAUUCGGUGGCUCUGAUUACCAAAAUGUCACGCCCCGAUCUAGAUCGGGGAGACCAGAUUAGGCAGAUGAGAGAAAGGGGAUGAGGAUGGCGUGAGGAAGGGGGUGAGCGAGAGAGAAACUGGGAGAGAUAUUUAGUUUACUCAAAUAACAGCCUGUCCAAUACAACGCUCACGCGGGGGUUAAGUACCCCUCGACCCAGCUGGCUCACGCACUGGCCACACACACACUUACAGCUGGCUCACGCACGCACUCACGCUUGGCACAGCCAACUGGCAGUCACGCGGUGGUGCCUUGCACUGCCGUGGUGACAGUAUCUCUGCUCUCUACUUUGUUUCGCUUCCAAUAAGUAGUAAGAAGUAUACAUUUUUUUCUUCUGAUUUUGCAUAGUGGUAAUUAUGUACGAUUUUCAAUAUAUGCAUGAUUCUUUCUCUAGAUCAGAUUGUUCAGGUUUUCCAGUCUAUUAUUCUUAUUAGAUUUCUGUUGUAUGUGUCUCUGCUCUCAACUCUGUUUUGCUUCCAACAAGUAGCAAGUACUAUACUUUUUUUUUAUGAUUUUGCACAGUGGUAAUUAUGUAUGAUUCUCAAUAUAUGCAUGAUUCUUUAUCUGGAUUUUUUCCUCUUUUACUUGAUACUUUUUUGAAUGGUUUUACAUUCAUUAUGUGAAGGAAAAAGUAAAAGGCUGCAUAAUGUUUGCAAAUUAUCUAUCCUAAUGUGCAAAUGAUGGAAAUAGAUUCCCGACAUGACCCAUCACCUUCAUGUUUUGUCUCUUAUUUCUUUUACAUAAUUAUUCUUCAGUUUUCAGUAAUGACUGAUUGCCACUCAAGUUUCCAUGCUCAACUCCUUGGUAGAGUGUAUUCCCUCGAAAGAUAGAAAAUUAGUGUUGUGAUUUUUGUGCCAGUUUAUUUGGCGUCUUUAGUUGGCUCAUGCUUUUAAUGAGAAUUUCAUAGGUUUUUUCUCUGUUCUUUAAAGAAUUUUUAGUGGUUCACUUAGUAGGAAUCAUGUUUUACACUGUCUUCCCUGUAGUUGUACAGUGCAAAGAUUAGUCAGAAAUGGUACUUGUAUCAGCCCUAAUCUAAUUGUGUUUCACUUUUCUUACUAACAACUCCCGUCUGCAACCGUCAGAGAAUACUGUGUCAUCAACCGACGUGGCCGCGCCGAGGACUCCUUCCCUCGCCUCCUCCAGGAACUGCCCCAUCAGCGGUGGCAAAAACUGCUCCUUGAACUUGGAUGGACCGCCCGCCCAGCUGCACUGUGUUCUGCGCCACUUAGUUCCUGGCCAAUCCUGAAGGCAUCACAAGACAUUCCGGAAUCUGGUUAGAAUACUUAUUGCUUUAGUGAAUCUGAUAGCAAGAUAUACAUAGUUGCUGUCAAAUGUCAAUGUAUAUUUCCUUUGGUCUUAUUUCUAUGUAUAUAGAAGUUCAUGUUGCUUCUUCGCUCAAUAGCUGAUGGUUGGCUCUCCUAUCUUAUUGUCUAGCAUACUUUGACCUGUGAAUUAUGUAUAUAGAAGUUCAUGCUGCUUCUUAGCUCAGUAGCUGAUGGCAGGCUCUUUUUAAUAGGGAGGCUACUGAGAAUUAUGAAGAUAGGUGUUCAAAAAUGGCAAGUUUUUGUGGACACACAUGUCUUUGUAACCUUAGAGCCUGCCGUGUAACAUAUUAUUAAUGCAUCCUAUAGAUGCAGACCUCCCCAGUAAUGAAAAUGAACACACCACUAGAGUUACACGCUAGCGAUAUAUACACUUGAGCGAUGUUUGAGAAAUUUGGCGAGGUCCUGUAUGAAGCAGGGCAGUACUCAAAACCUAUUUUUUCUGACGGUACCAUCCAGAGAAACAUGACAAGUGGUACAGGGUUUUGUACAAAGUUGAAGUUGUUGAGCAGGUCAAGGAACUCGCAUGUUUUGGAGCACACAUGAUUGCUGUUCUACCACACGGUUAUGGUAACAAUACUAAGUGUGAUGAUCAAGUCUUUUGUUUCAAAGUCCCAUUUUUUGAACAACAAAAUUGACCAUACCAACCUUUCUCUAAUGCAGGUCCUUGAUUUCCCCGGUAUAGACCAGAUACCAGUAAAGCACAUUGGGAAACAUUGGACAAAGGACACAAGAGUUGUACUGCCAGAGCACCUGGCUCAUCUUUAGAAGGAUAAAAUUUCAGUGAACUCAAUAACAUUCAGAUGCUCAAACCUAUAGACCCAUGCCCUUGAAGUUAUAAGACUGGGAGAUGCAAACACAAGUGCAUAUGAGUGUGCAAUGGAUCUCCUGAAGAAAGCAGUGGAUAAGAUGACACUUAUACCCACUGUGCAGGAUGGAAUGGGGUUGGAAGACAGAAUUCAGUCAAACAAGGGGAAGAAUAAAGAGCUGACCGCAAUGUGUGCACCUCCCAGCGGAUGUGCAAGCGACACCGAAGGUAGUGCAAUUGGUAAUUUCGUGGGUCUAAAAAGGCUCCAGAACGAAAACGUAAGGCAGUUCGACCAACCAACAGCAGGGACAAGCCUACAUAUGAUGAUCGCGGUGCAAAUAGCAAAAAGUACAAAAAGGCAGCAAAUGCACAAGCUGCCGACCGGUGCGGUACAAGCAAGCGCACUCGCUUUGUAGUAUAUGUCGUGAGCCAGAUUACAAGAGCACCAACUGUCCACAGAGAGGUGAUCUUCCUCAAAAGGAAAGAAAAGAAGCUAAGUGCUGAAACGGUUGUGCUGCAUGUUGUUGAAAAUGCUACUUAAAAAGGAGAUGUGCGGGUCACCUAAUCAUUCAGCAUUUUUAUUUGUGUGUUGUUGAUGGCUCCUUGGCUGUUUGCCGGAACAUUGUGUUAAGUCUAAUAAUAGCUCUUAACAAGCAUUGUGUGCUCUUAUCUUCAGUAUGUCUGGUUUGUAUGCAUGUUUAUCAUAAUCUGUGAAAAUUCAGUGACAUAUCAUUUGGGGUGUGCAUGUUCCCAGAGGUUUCAGUAUUUUUUAAUUGCAAGCCAAUUUGGUCUAAUUGCAGUUGAAAGCAAAAAUUCAGUUGGUUUUCAAUGUUGCCUUCUUGCAAAUUUGCUUUCCAUCAGGUUCCCCAUAUACAGGUGAAACAUGGUGACAAUCAUUGAGGCGACUACGAUCAGCAAACUCGCAGCUCCGCCGACGGCGACAACUGGUCUGAGCCAGGAAGCUACGCCAAAUUGCUUUGGAGAGACUGUGCAGCCUUGACGGAGAGAGGUGGAGUUAAAUUCAGUAAAUUUUUUUUUUGCAUGGUUAGUUAUAUUUAGUUGGUGGGCCGACCCAGCGGACUUCCAUCCACUUCGGCGUUAUCGGCACUGGCAGAGAACCAGAACGCCGUCACGUCCCGUCGUCACGCCUUGUACAAACGUCGGCUUCGUCCAUCCGUUAUACACAUUAAAUAAGCGGCUGUACAUGUCUUGAAAUACAGCAUGCGUCCAGCAUCCCAACGCGAAGCAACGCCUCACGAUUCCGUGAGUAGGCGAGCCCGUCGGUUGCCCACCUUCUCCAUUAAGCAUAAGCAUAACUAAGCAACAUUCAGAAUUUAGUUACAUGGCCACUGUGGAAAGCUCAUGUGCUUCGUCAGAUACUUUUUCAGUUUCCAACUAGUAAUCAGAACUGAAGAGCAAUGGAAGCCGUGAACUUAUACAAGGAAAAAGGUAGCGUAAGACUGUAAGAGAUAUGAACCUGUAGACGGUGCUGCGCCGGGCUCUCCACAGAUCCGGCCUGGAUUACGCCAGCAGC